AGUCAAUGGAAUUGGCAGUCAAGAGAAGUUUAACUGAAUCUCUGAGUGGCAAGAGUCAGGAGAGGUUUAACUGAAUAUAGAAGGAGAAGAAGUAUUUACAUUAGAAGUCUGAUUCACAGGUCGGGGCAAAGUGAAAAACAUCUGCACUUUUAAAAGAGAGGUCAAAAGUCCGUCUGACUCACCUGUGCUGAGUGACUUGAAUGCCAUCUAAUCUAACUUCAAGAUCAUCAGGAUACUUGCCAACAAGGUCACAGUGGACUCCAUGGAGCAACUGCCCUCAGGAGGCAACAGGUUCUUUUUGAGGGGAGUCUCUCUGAUGCUUGGAAUGAAUCCUGCUGAAUCAAUGCUGAUGCUUGGAGAUCUUCAAGUCUUUUCCCUUUUUCCCAUUGCUCAUGAUGUCUAUAUAACCUCCAAACAUGCAUCCCACUCCUCUGCCGAAAGACCAUUUUUUUAUAUCUUCAGUGAUGGUCUAGGCCAGGUUAAUUGACUUUUCUUUUUUCUUAAGCCAACUAAAGUCCUCACCACAAAUUAA
rnacentral:lncRNA from 1 species